UAUACGGGUUUUCAAGCAUGUUGAUUUGUUUCUAGUGAUAGAUUAACAUUAUUUCUACAUUAUGAACAGGAGAAACACUCUUAAGAACCCGGCUAAUCAUUUCUGUGGCCUUAGAAAAUAAUGGUGAGAGAACGAAGCGUUUCUGAAUACGAAUCUAACGAUAGUAAGUAAAAGAUUCAUUCCUAGAACCGUUUUCCCUCCUCAAGUUGAAACCACAUGGGUAAGGUGAGUUGAUAGAAGGCGUAGUGGUUGUAGGAAAUCACGUCAGCGACUGUUGCCAUAGCUGGAGCUUUUCUACCCGUGUCCACCAGAGAGAUCUUAGUCAAGCUGUAAACUUCCUGGUGUACAACUGCAGCGCUAUUUGAGGAGGAUAAAAUAUUAUAUGAUGGUAUUUAUAACUAUUGUAGCUUAAUGCUCACACCAGAGAGUACGGGAAAUAAGGUGUUAUGUGAAUCUUUAUGGGACGUCAGGAAUUAUUCCAUAUAAGGACACUUAGAGAUUCUGUGUACCAGGUAGGACGAUGUGUAUGAGGUGAGAGGCUGUGUGAGAGUGCGGGUAGCUGCCUCAUCCUUAAUGGUGUGUAAAGUAUACCCACUUGCAUAAAGACGUAUGAACGACUGAGCAUUAUAGAAGGAUACGUAAUAAGUGUUUCUCACGAAUACUCUGUUUUACAUUGUCCUCGUGCUUUCAAUGACCGAGUAUCCUUGCAUAUUGCUGUGGAUGAAAGAAGUCAGGAGCCGCUUCAGCAAUCUGGCAAGUCGUGGUAAUGAAGGAAGUCUCGGACACAGCAAGUCAUAAGCCGCCACACUGGGAUCUGCUCCUGUUAUUCUCGAGUUCAAUCAAGUCAAAUCUGGAAGCAGCGACUCUGGGCUCCGCCAGUGACCGCCGCGUCCCGCUGUUCCGUCCUGGCUGUGCCCCCUGCCUCAAUUUAUGGACGAGUGUCACUAGUGCGUGUGGACAAUGAUUCACGACCUCAUCGGAGACUUCGGGUGACACGCCUAGCAUUCCUUACGGAACCCUCCAACACCACCACUACCCUGACUCCACAGCAUCCUCUAUUCCGCGGCCACGACCAUCAGCCCUCAGUCCGUCAGAGAAGGCAGUGUUAUAUUCACGCACUGUCAUCACCACCACUGCUACCACCGCCACCACCACCACCGCAGCUGCCUGUCCCUUCUGCUGGUGGAGCGAGAGUCACCACUACUAGCAGCGUCGUGAGGCGAGAUUAACUCAGCUGCAUUCCCAUCAGUAAUCUCCCCGCAAUGCAUUACUAUUAGUAUUAAUCCCCAGAGGCGCUGUGUUCCCCAGCACGCGCGCCUCGCUCCUCUCACUCUGCAUCCCAUUGGUCGUGUGUGCACUGUUGUGAUGCUCGUCUACGCCCUCUUCCUCCCUCCGCGGCGUGAUUAGCAUUUCCGGGCCGCAGCUGAACGUAUUCAUGUUCUCUUUUGUUGUCUUUAGCGCACCUCUGUUAUUCCGGCGCUUCAUUCACAAUUCCGUGUGAUGCUGCAACUUUGCCUUAGAUUCUGCGUCCGUGUGUUGUGGCGAAGCUUGAAAAGAAGCAGCAGGAGCAGGAAAUACACCUAACUACUUUUGCUCCUCCUCCUCCUCUUCCACCUACUCCUCCUACCUAUCCUUUACAGAAACACCUGUACCGCUUCACCACCCUUUACACUCCAUCCACCACCAUCCCAUCACACCUGCACCUUCAUCCCGCCAUGAGUGUAAGGGGUGGGCGGGAUGUGCACCUCAAUAAUAGUGUGUUGAGCUGCAGUGUGGUGGUGGUGGUGGUUGGCAAGUUUAUAGUAAUGAUGGGCUGUGGAGUGGUUUGUGGUUUGGUGGUGGUAUUGAUUGAUAUGAUUGCUUGGAGAGAGAGAGAG